rnacentral:rRNA from 1 species
GACAGAGGGUGCAAACGUUGUUCGGAAUUACUGGGCGUAAAGCGCGUGUAGGCUGCCUUGUAAGUCGGAUGUGAAAGCCCUGGGCUCAACCUAGGAAGUGCAUUCGAAACUGCGGGGCUUGAGUCCUGGAGAGGAAGGCGGAAUUCUCGGUGUAGAGGUGAAAUUCGUAGAUAUCGAGAGGAACACCGGUGGCGAAGGCGGCCUUCUGGACAGUGACUGACGCUGAGACGCGAAAGCGUGGGGAGCAAACAGG